ACGAUUCGAACCACCUAACGAGGAACGAUCGGAGGGCAAGUCUGGUGCCAGCAGCCGCGGUAAUUCCAGCUCCAAUAGCGUACGUUAAAGUUGCUGCAGUUAAAAAGCUCGUAGUUGAACGUUCGGGUUCCGCGGGACGGGGCCGCCCCGCGAGGGACGGCGCCGCCCCGGGGCUCGUGAUAUCUCAUCUCGCCGCCCGUCGCGAGGCGGACGGAGGGAUGGAUGAGGUUACCUGGAAAAAAUCGGGGCGAUCUAGGCGGGCGAACCUCGCCAACGAACGAUCGGACAUGGGAUAACGGAAGAGGGCGUCGGCUCGACUUCGUCGGUUCCUCGGGCCGAGGCACGUACGGUGAAUAGGGACGGUCGGGGCCGCCCGUACCGGGUAGUCAGAGGUGAAAUUCUAAGAUUUGCUGAAGACGAACUAAUGCGAAAGCAUUUGCCAAGGAUGUUUCAUUAAUCAAGAACGAAAGUUAGGGGAUCAAAGACGAUCAGAUACCGUCUAGUCUUAACUAUAAACUAUGCCGACUCGGAUUCAGAU
rnacentral:rRNA from 1 species